AUACUUUACCUGGCACAGGAGAUACCGUGAUCACGAAGCGGUUUCUCCUCAGGGCGAGGCUCACCAUUGCACUCCGGUGGUGCGCUGACCCUGCGAUUAACCCAAUGUGGUUUAACUCGAGUGCGCAAUUUUUGGUAGCGGGGACUUGCGUUCGCGCUAUCUCCCC